rnacentral:tRNA from 1 species
CAAUUUGGAGCUUGAUUAGAAAAGCAUUUCAUUUACAUUGAAAAGUUGUCGUGCAAUUCGGCUCGUUUUGA